UACGAAGGGUGCGAGAGUUAAUCGGAAUUACUGGGCGUAAAGCGUACGCAGGCGGCUGCGCAAGACAGAUGUGAAAUCCCCGGGCCUAACCUGGGAACUGCAUUUGUGACUGCGCAGCUCGAGUCCGUCAGAGGGGUGUGGAAUUCCACGUGUAGCAGUGAAAUGCGUAGAGAUGUGGAGGAACACCGAUGGCGAAGGCAGCCCCCUGGGAUGAGACUGACGCUCAGGUAAGAAAGCGUGGGGAGCAAACAGG
rnacentral:rRNA from 1 species